rnacentral:rRNA from 1 species
UACAGAGGUCUCAAGCGUUGUUCGGAUUCAUUGGGCGUAAAGGGUGCGUAGGCGGCGCGGUAAGUCGGGUGUGAAAUCUCGGAGCUUAACUCCGAAACUGCACUUGAUACUGCCUUGCUUGAGUACUGGAGAGGAGAUUGGAAUUUACGGUGUAGCAGUGAAAUGCGUAGAUAUCGUAAGGAAGACCAGUGGCGAAGGCGAAUCUCUGGACAGUUACUGACACUGAGGCACGAAGGCCAGGGGAGCAAACGGG